UUACUUCGACAGAGGCCACACACACUCACAUGUGCAUAACUGCACACACGGACAGUCGCAAAUAAAAUGACCGUCUUCAAUCGAUAUUGUUUUUCUGAAAUGGAUUUGUUUUCAAAACAAAUCCUAUACUGUAUUUUUAAACAUCUAGGGGAGAUACAGAGGUGGUGGGGAAAUCAAGUAAAUCGAGAAUCUCAGGAGACAUCCCACGUUGUUCGUUAUAAACGCAAGACCAAAGUCGAACAUAUCACAGAAACCUGUGAAGAACCAUUGUUGCUGGACUACAGCAGUACCAGUCUUAGAUCGACCACCUCCGGAAGCAGAAGGAGGGAUGUGCUAAUCUUUGGCCUCAGGGAAGUAAAGCAUGCUAUAU